rnacentral:piRNA from 1 species
UAGUUUUCACUCUCCUUUGAA